CCAGAUUUGCAUCUCACACCCACUACUUACGCGCCAGGCGCCUCUUUGGACGCCACUCCACAGCCUCGUGUGUUAAGAGGCACACAAGAGCUGCCUGAUUGGCCCCCAAGCUGAGAACCGGGAGCCGGAGGAAAUCAUAGCGAAAUCUCAACCUGAUGUAGCCCCAUCAGCAUCACACACACACUCAGAGCAAAAUGGCCUGCUCUUCAAUGUAGCUUAGUUUAGUUCAAUUGUCCUGCCCACCCCCUCCUGACCCUCCUGCCGCUGAGGGGUGGUAUUUGAAAGAACAGGCUUCUUUCCUCUCUUCUCCUUGGGACAGCAACAGCACAGAGAGUGGGCCGCCAUCUCUUACUGCCCACUCAACCGUUGCUGGGGACUGAUUCUUUCAGCUCUACAUAGAAUUCAAGAACUAUAUUUGGAUCUGCUUCAGAGCAGUAAUCCCCACAGCCUUAAAACAUGCAAAAUAAAAAUAAAUUAAUCAUCCAUCAGCAGGCAAGUUAAUGAAGCACCCAAUUCACACCAGCUUUUAUCUGUCAGAGAAACACCAGCAAGCAAGGUAGAGACAACAAGCCAAACCCUGAUGUGCAAGUAUGAACUUCAUGUUAAUUAGGAAUCGGAAGAAUGUGUGGGUUUCUCUAAUGCACUCAUCAUACGAAGCCAGCUGAUUCAAAUGCUCUCAACCUGAGCUUCGGGUCAUUUGUGUUAGCUGUAAGGCCAUCUGAGGCAGAUGCAUUGAACCUGACCUUGAGAGUAUCCUUGACCACUGGACCAAGAGGCCAGAGACUCUACAAGUGUGCUCAGGCCAGAUGGCUAACUCAACUAGUGCCUGGCAGGAAGACUCAAGAUGCCAGCUUCUCCCCUAAACCAUGUGAACAUUCAACCAUUUUAAACUAUAAAAACAGCAAUUUCAACCAAAACACUGGACCUUUGCCUAUUUUACUGGAAGUUUCUCUCUUAGAGUAUGAUGAAAAGAGGAUUGGUUGUAAGAGACCUGGCUGCAAGGCUCACCUCCACUAAGUAGCCAUAGACAUUUUGGCCACUAAUGUGCUGUGAGUCACCUUAUUCCUCUGGUCCACAGCUUCUUCAUCUGGGAAAGGAAGACAUUGGAUUGUAAAGUAAGAAUAGCCCACAUUUUUUAGCAUUUGCAAUAUGCUAGGCAAUGUGCUAAUUGCUUGAUUAUUAAAGAGA
rnacentral:lncRNA from 1 species